rnacentral:rRNA from 1 species
CAGCAGCCGCGGUAAUACGUAGGGUGCGAGCGUUAAUCGGAAUUACUGGGCGUAAAGCGUGCGCAGGCGGUUUGUUAAGACAGAUGUGAAAUCCCCGGGCUUAACCUGGGAACUGCAUUUGUGACUGGCAAGCUAGAGUAUGGCAGAGGGGGGUGGAAUUCCGCGUGUAGCAGUGAAAUGCGUAGAUAUGCGGAGGAACACCGAUGGCGAAGGCAGCCCCCUGGGCCAAUACUGACGCUCAUGCACGAAAGCGUGGGGUGCAAACAGGAUUAGAUACCCGCGUAGUCCCUGUCUCUUAUAC